rfam:Dipodomys ordii contig_55614, whole genome shotgun sequence.
GGGAAUAUGGCUUAGUGGUAGAGUGCUUGCCUAGCAUGCAUGAAGCCCAGAGUUUGAUUCCUCAGUAACCCA